rnacentral:rRNA from 1 species
ACGGAAGGCAGCAGUGGGGAAUAUUGCACAAUGGGGGAAACCCUGAUGCAGCGACGCCGCGUGAGUGAAGAAGUUAUUCGUAAUGUAAAGCUCUAUCAGCAGGGAAGAAAAUGACGGUACCUGACUAAGAAGCCCCGGCUAACUACGUGCCAGCAGCCGCGGUAAUACGUAGGGGGCAAGCGUUAUCCGGAUUUACUGGGUGUAAAGGGAGCGUAGACGGUUUGGCAAGUCUGAUGUGAAAGGCAGGGGCUCAACUCCUGGACUGCAUUGGAAACUGUCGGACUAGAGUGCCGGAGAGGUAAGCGGAAUUCCUAGUGUAGCGGUGAAAUGCGUAGAUAUUAGGAGGAACACCAGUGGCGAAGGCGGCUUACUGGACGGUAACUGACGUUGAGGCUCGAAAGCGUGGGGAGCAAACAGGAUUAGAUACCCUGGUA